GACGAACGCUGGCGGCGUGCUUAACACAUGCAAGUCGAACGGAAAGGCCCUGCUUUUGUGGGGUGCUCGAGUGGCGAACGGGUGAGUAACACGUGAGUAACCUGCCCUUGACUUUGGGAUAACUUCAGGAAACUGGGGCUAAUACCGGAUAGGAGCUCCUGCUGCAUGGUGGGGGUUGGAAAGUUUCGGCGGUUGGGGAUGGACUCGCGGCUUAUCAGCUUGUUGGUGGGGUAGGUGCUUACCAAGGCUUUGACGGGUAGCCGGCCUGAGAGGGUGACCGGCCACAUUGGGACUGAGAUACGGACCAGACUCCUACGGGAGGCAGCAGUGGGGAAUAUUGCACAAUGGGCGGAAGCCUGAUGCAGCAACGCCGCGUGCGGGAUGACGGCCUUCGGGUUGUAAACCGCUUUCGCCGGUGACGAAGCGUGAGUGACGGUAAUGGGUAAGGAAGCACCGGCUAACUACGUG
rnacentral:rRNA from 1 species